rnacentral:rRNA from 1 species
AUUGAACGCUGGCGGCAGGCCUAACACAUGCAAGUCGAGCGGAUGAAGGGAGCUUGCUCCUGGAUUCAGCGGCGGACGGGGGAGUGAUGCCUAGGAAUCUGCCUGGUAGGGGGGGAUAACGUCCGGAAACGGGCGCUAAUACCGCAUACGUCCUGAGGGAGAAAGUGGGGGAUCUUCGGACCUCACGCUAUCAGAUGAGCCUAGGUCGGAUUAGCUAGUUGGUGGGGUAAAGGCCUACCAAGGCGACGAUCCGUAACUGGUCUGAGAGGAUGAUCAGUCACACUGGAACUGAGACACGGUCCAGACUCCUACGGGAGGCAGCAGUGGGGAAUAUUGGACAAUGGGCGAAAGCCUGAUCCAGCCAUGCCGCGUGUGUGAAGAAGGUCUUCGGAUUGUAAAGCACUUUAAGUUGGGAGGAAGGGCAGUAAGUUAAUACCUUGCUGUUUUGACGUUACCAACAGAAUAAGCACCGGCUAACUUCGUG